rnacentral:rRNA from 1 species
UACGGAAUGUGCAAACGUUAUUCGGAAUCACUGGGCUUAAAGAGUCCGUAGGCGGCAUGUUAGGUGAGGUGUGAAAUCCCCCGGCUCAACCGAGGAAUUGCGCUUCAAACCGGCGUGCUUGAGGAAGAUAGAGGUGGGCGGAACUGAUGGUGGAGCGGUGAAAUGCGUUGAUAUCAUCAGGAACACCGGAGGCGAAAGCGGCCCACUGGGUCUUAUCUGACGCUGAGGGACGAAAGCUAGGGGAGCGAACGGG